GAGUGAACGCUGGCGGUAGGCCUAACACAUGCAAGUCGAACGGCAGCACAGAGGAGCUUGCUCCUUGGGUGGCGAGUGGCGGACGGGUGAGGAAUACAUCGGAAUCUACUUUUUCGUGGGGGAUAACGUAGGGAAACUUACGCUAAUACCGCAUACGACCUACGGGUGAAAGCAGGGGACCUUCGGGCCUUGCGCGAUUGAAUGAGCCGAUGUCGGAUUAGCUAGUUGGCGGGGUAAAGGCCCACCAAGGCGACGAUCCGUAGCUGGUCUGAGAGGAUGAUCAGCCACACUGGAACUGAGACACGGUCCAGACUCCUACGGGAGGCAGCAGUGGGGAAUAUUGGACAAUGGGCGCAAGCCUGAUCCAGCCAUACCGCGUGGGUGAAGAAGGCCUUCGGGUUGUAAAGCCCUUUUGUUGGGAAAGAAAUCCAGCCGGCUAAUACCUGGUUGGGAUGACGNACCCAAAGAAUAAG
rnacentral:rRNA from 1 species